CUACAAGAACGUAGGGGAAAAUCCCCAAAUGUGUCUAAUCUUUACUUGUUUGUCCUGAUUAACGAUGUCCAAACCAAAAAGCCCAGGUGAGAUCCAAAACGACCCACCUGACCACAGAGGACGUCUUGGAUCUGACAGGCUGACAGCGGAAGCAGCUCGGUCAACGAGCCGAAGCUGUGGAUCUCUGUUCCUGUAGAUCUUCCCAUCUUGCUUAGCCAAAUACUGAUCUAUCUCAUCCUCCUGGACCUGGGGUGCAGAGGACGACCGAGGGAUCAAGGAGGAUGACGAGGAGGAGGAGGAGAGAGAUGGCAGUGAUGAAGACGAGUGUGGGGUGGCUGUAUCCAUUUUCUCCCCAGAAGACGUUGAUGGGUACAGAAACAACAUGUCCCCAUGCCUACAAAAUAAAAGAAUGAUUAAAAAAU